AUUAUACGGUUCAAUAUGAAUUAGGAAUUUCUCAAAUUGCUCUUGAUUUGAGCAUAUCAAAAUGCGGUUCAUAUGAAAAGUUGGAAUGCAGUUACAUUCCCAGGCUCUUAUCUUUGAAGAUUACAUUGAUUUAAUAAAUGUACUUUACGUUAAGUGUCUGUAAGCACACUUUCAUUUUUAAAAAAAACCAAGGUUGAUCUUUAAAAAUUGUCACGUGCCAUAUGCGGUGAUUUACUUCCAUCGACGAUAGUCAUUCAAGGACUGUGACGUAUUGUAUUUAUUGAAUCACACAUGUUUAUCUAUUAAAUUAUAGAAUCGUAAAUUACACGAUUUAAGUUUUUAAAGAUCGAAAAAUUUAAGCACCAUUUUUGUUGUUAUUGUUUUCUUUUGUUAAACCUUUAAAACUGUAACAUGUUCUCUGGGAUACGUAAAAAAAAAAAUAUAUAAGUAAUGAUAGCACCGGACUUUAUAAAGUUCAAUCUGCAGUUUGAUCAUGUUUCGUCAUUUAAUAACUCUUUCAAUUUUUUUUUUGUCGGGAUAGCGGGACUAUUGUUCAUAACAACUUGUAUGUUCCAUGCAUAUUCGAAGGGCUUUUCGCCACAAUAAAACUUCAGAGGGUCAGCUAAUCCACGUGUUUGAAAUUAACACAGGUGGUUGACUUCAAGCGAAAGGUGUAAAAUAUAUGGGGUCGGCGCGAACAGAUGUAAUCUAAAAUCAUAGGUAUCUUGCGCCGACUCCCUUUCUGACUUUUCGCAAAGUCAAACACUUCUGUAAAUUUCAAAUACCCAGACUAGCUAACUGUAAUUUACAUGUAGUUCUCCUUGGUAUUUGCACGGAAUAUACUAGUAAGAUUAUUGAAUUUUUUCUUUAUGAAUAUCUCUAUCGAAAUAUAGAAGCCUCGGUCAAAUAUAAUUAAUUCACGAUCAUUUAAAAAAAAAAAUUAUAGUUAAUAUCUUUGCUUCUAUUGAUAAAUAUUAUCAAUUAAUUCAAAUUUGUAAUAAUCGACAUUGCUCUGAUUUCGAUAUUGAAUGAAGUUAAUCUAAUUAGAUCCAUAUUCUCAUAAUAUGAAGUAAUUUAGUACCUUAAACACGCUUUUGAAGGAGAGAGAGAAAACACGUAAGUAAUUAUUGAAUAUCCCUAUUACAUGUAGUAUGCUUUUUAUUUACUGAAUAUACUAAUUCGCAUUCAAAACGGGAAUUGUACGUAUUACUCGUUAUUACUUCUAUUAUAAUUAAACUGGGAAUUAAUGAAUAUAUUAAUGAAGAAAGGGAUUAGAGUAUUUAAAUGAAGAUUUUCAAACAAGGUUUUCUAAAAGACAUAUAGUGUUUGGUAUCGUUGGAAUCGUCUCAAAAAGCUGAACAACAAUUUACAUAUCAGCGGGGAAAUAUUGAAUUUUUUUCUUUUUUUUUAAUUCCACCGUUAUCAUGUUAUUUAGCCUGCGGCACAUUUUCACAAAUUCUGCAAGGCGUCGAUAGCUCCCGCGAGCUGUGUGUAUUCGCAAAUAACACACACCGUGGAACACUGAGGACACGGUGUAUCUCCGUGGAUUUUCCUCCGUGGUCUUUCCACGGUGGGGUGUAUAAAACUCGUGUCGUGUACUGUAGGUUCUUACCCCAGGGCAGAGCCAAACUUGAUACAUGUAUACAGUGUUUAUGUGUAAAACACUUAAAUAGCAUCUUCUUUAGUGCUAUCAGUCUAUUCUCAGUACCUCGGUGAACAAAAGAGAUUUAUAAUUAGUCCGAUACUGGGGAUAUGUACAUGUAGGUUGGUCUAACUUGGAGAUCAUUGUACCUUAUUACAAUUAAUGGCGUUUGUAGAAUUAAUUUAAAACAUCACAUGUAUCACAUCAUUUUGAAUUGAUAGCUAUAAUUUCUUAAAUCAUUAACAAUUGUUUUAUAGACCUAAUCUGCAUGUUAAACCAUGUUUAUGGUGACUUAAAGAAAAAAGUUUUAUGUUAUCUAGGGGGAUGCAAAUUAAAAGGAAGUGACAUUAAGAAGUAAUUAUCAGAAAUUUUCAUGAAAAUUACAUGUUAUGCCCAAGAGAGGAUACGUAGGUGGUCACGUUCCAUCCAAGGAGAUUUGAUGAGAAGAAGGGUCGAGAAGAGGGCGGAAGAUGAUGAAAACAAGAUCCAGCCGGACGAUAUUAAACGAUUAGAAAAUUCACCUAUAUGUCGAAGGACAGAGGAGCUGUUUACCAGGUUCGCGGGUGUGGUGGAUAGAAUGAUGACCGAGGCAGAAAACACUUUUAUGAGGAAUUUUGUCUUGGUCAACAUCCUCAUCGAUAACGCUCAGAGAUUUGGGCCCUUCACCAGCAUCACCUUGAAGAUCAUCCGGCAAGCUGAGCGAAAUGGGGAUAUCCAUGUCCUUGUCAUAGCUGCACACAAGACCGGCACCAUUGCUCCUGGGACGCUACUGUUAGGACCCUCCCUUUGGGAGAAAUUUCAAGUUUACCUGGAGCUGCGCAAGAAACUGUCAGGGUUUACCACCGUACUGGACAUGGAAUCGCCGUCGUAUUCCUUACCUUCCCUAGCCGGACCGAGGUGCUUCAGGCCAUGAACUCGUCAAGCAUAUCGAAGGCCAUCCAAUCAAUAUGGAGGCAGGCGGGGUUGAAGAAACCCAUUUCUGGCACACAGCUACAAAAAGCUACUGCAACCACGGUAGAUUUUGUAGCAUAUAAAAGAUACUAUAGUAUAUAGAAAUAAAUGCAUAGAUAAAUGAGUGAGUGCAUGAAAGGUGAAGAUAACGAACAGUGAUCAAUCUCAUAACUCCUACAAGCAAUUCAUUUCAAAAUUAAGGAUUAUCUCCCUCAUGCAUAGCUCUUAUCCUUGGACGAAUUUGGCUCCACUUGUUUGGCACGCUGUUUUUGGCUAUAUUUAGAUCUAAAACUUCAUAGUUAUUUCGGAUUUCAAACAUUUCGGUUGAGCAUCACUGAAGAGACAUUAUUUGUCGAAAUGCGCAUCUGGUGCAUCAAAAUUGGUACCGUAUAAGUUUUACAAAAUAGAUAAUUGGGCAAACACGGACCCAUGUACACACCGGAGGUGGCAUCAGGUGCCGAGGAGUAGUAAACAUCCCCUGUCGAAUGUCUGGAUUUUUUCAGAUGCGCAAGAUAUUUCCAGAGACCAGGCUUAUGUUGGCCCAACAAAUGAGCCACAGGUCAAACACCCAGCUAACUCACCAAAAAGAGGACGCUGUGAGGAUCGUAAUUGUGAUCUCUCACGUGAUGAGAAAUAUAGCGACCCCGGGAGAGGCAGAGGUACUGGAAGACAGGCCAUGUCAUCGAAGAGGUUGAAGAGGAAGAGGAAACCCUCUCCUUGUCCAGACUGCGACGGCAUCCGCCGAUGAACUGACGCUGGAACCACUGACUCCGCUGCGGUCAAGCACCACUGUAUCUAGUCAGUUACCAUCAAACAUUCACGCUCACGGUAGGCUGCUAUUCUUGGAGGAGGAAGCCAAGUUCAUCCUUAAUGAAUGCCGCCAUAUGAUUUCUGAUCCAGAUCUUCCUAUAACUAGUGGAGCGUGUGACCGGGUGCUGCGGGGGACGCCAGAGGGGAGAGCCAUCAUCUCAAGUGUAAGAGGAAUAGAUCCAAAGGGAUAUCUGAAGAGGAUUGCAGAAGAUUGCAGAUAAAGUGUGCACUGCACGAAGGCAACAGACAGAGAAAUAGGAGACAUAGCAUAGGAGAGAUGGAGUGUUCAUCGGGGGCGCAAACGGUCCCCUCUGGUUUUUUUUUUUUUUUUUUUUUUGGAGAAAGACAGUACCAUCAUUUCCUCCUACAAGUGUUAUAGUUAGAAUUAUAGGGAGAGAUGGAGUGUUCCUUCGGGGGCGGAAAUAAUCCGUUCCGGGUUUUAUGGAGAGAGAGAGAGAGAGAGAGAGAGAGAGAGAGAGAGAGAGAGAGAGAGAGAGAGAAACGGUACCUAUUUUUGUAAUCAACACUUACAGCAUUUAUUUGACAUCCUUCAGACCUUGUACAGCUGUUAUGAAAGCAUUGUAGAUGUGCAUGUGUCUUUUUGGAAGUGAUAAGACAUUCUUCGAAAUAUUUGCAUGUGCAUGAUGUAAGCAUGGUACCUACUAUUUGUAACCAACUCCUCUCAUAGCUUUUACUUACAUUCUUCAGACCCUGUACAUUAUAAAUGUUAUAAAAUAUUGAAGAUAUACAUGUGAUAUUUUAAAAAUGCUACUGUUUUUGUUUUUUUGUUGUUUUUUUUUUUUUGUUUUUUUUUUUAAAUUCUACAUUUAAUAUGCAAUUUUCCAGUAUGUUCUCUACGGCUGUUUCUAUAAUAGAUUAACAUAUUUUAAAGCUACCCGGUCAUUUCUGUUCUUGAAUCAACUUUUUAAAUUUGUAUUUUUGAAUAUGGUAAACAUUACUUGCUAUGUCAUUGUUCUUGAAAUUAAAUUAAUUGAAUUGUUAUUGUGUUUUUGUAACUACAGUUUAUGUAGGAUCCCUUAAUUUCAAGCAGACAAGAAUGUGCCGCAAAGUUGCGGCAAACUGUUUUCUAGAAACAACAAUAACAAAUCCAUUAACAUAGAGAUUCCAUUUGCAAGAGUUUGUUCUCCAUAUGACCAGAUUUUAAGUCAAAGCAGGCUACUGACAAACAAGUUAGAAGCAGGCUACUGACAGAGAAGUUAAUGUUGCAGGGAUUUCAAAUUCUAUAAGAGUAUACAUUCCCUCUCCUUUCGUAACAGUAUGGCAGCCCAUGAACGAACUGCAUUUUCUCCAAUUCAGAAAUGAUGAGCACUUUACUUGUUUAUUUACGUAGAAUUGUGACUGAAAAUAUUAAAGUAGUCUUUAUUCGCAUUAGUCGCAGCAGGUACUUUGUCGAAAAAGAUAACUAUGACUAAAAGAAUGUAUUUUUUUUAAAAAUGUAAAAUUUGACACAUAGUCAAAAUGGUCUAACUCUGGG